rnacentral:misc_RNA from 1 species
UGUGGGAGCGGGCUUGCUCGCGAUGACAUCACUGCGGUCUGCCUGACAAACCGCGCCGUUUGCAUCGCGAGCAAGCCCGCUCCCACA